rnacentral:tRNA from 1 species
GCGCUAGUAGUUUAGCCUGGUAGAAUGGAAGCUUGCCAAGCUUUUGGCCCGAGUUCAAAUCUCGGCUAGCGCA